UCCAAAAAAAGGGGAGUAUAUUAAAGGAGAGAAGAGUUACUUGUCCAGAUCCUCGGGCACAACAGCUGCGUCGGUGGUGCUACCCGACAAAAAGGGGGCAGGGGCAGCGCGGACGUUUUCUCCAUCGUCCUCCAGCGCCACCCCGGUCAGUGAGAUGGGGACUUGGUAGGACUACAUCUGAAUUUUCUGUGCUUUAUGAGACCGUCAGUCUAAUUCUGUUCACUGUCAGUAGACAUUCUGUGGUUGUGAAUUUACAAGUAUCCAAGUUCACUGUCAGUAGACAUGUCUGAAUUACUUAAGCAACAUGCUUGUAAAUGGUCAGUAUUCCUAUAGUACUACCGUGCAAGUUUGAUCUGCACCUGUUAGUUUUUUUACCACUUUAGUUGAUGGAUUUAGCUACCUUCUGUAUCUCUCAAGGUAGGAGAUUUGCUGCUGAUAGUCUUGACUAAUUAAGGCAUCACUUAAUCUUUUCAACAUCAAUUUUCCACAUUUAUUCAAAAGUUGUUUUGCUUUUAGCUUCCUCUCUCCAACUCAUGGAAUGUUGGAUUUGUAGUGCCUGUUUUGGUUUUGUUUGUCUGAACUACCGAAACAGACACUUGAUGUUUUACAUUUCCAUAAGAAAAUCUGGGAGUGUUUCCUUUUACUAGUUACAAUUAGCAAUAUGUGAACGCAUUAACCAUCCACACUUACUCUCUACCACAGUUUUAUGACAAGCUUUUAUUAUCUCAGAUUUGUUUGUUUGCCCGCUAGGGGAUAUAUGGUGUGAAUCUAGAUUCUGGGAUGGAGUUUGCAAAUGGAGAUGACGAUUUUUGGGUAUGUUUUUUUUUAUGUUUUUUCUGGGUGUGAAUCACGAAUCUGAGGGAGCGAAUUAGUUUUUUGUUUGGCUUGACCUCGUACUUUUCUGAGUGUGAAAUGAAGAGAACAAAUUCCAUGGCCGACGUUGAAAUAGAGGUAGGUAGCUGAGAUUUUUUCGAAGGUAACUAUUGAAUUCUGAUGUGAUGUACUUGUACUUGGUUGUUACUGAUGUCCCUUCAAUUGCUUGAUGUCCCUUCAAUUGCUUGCUUGGCACUGAGCAUUGCCAAUGCUUGUUUGUAUUUUCUGAGGCAUUCGGCAUACUGAGAUUAUUAUUAUUUAUUUUCUGAGGCACUCGCAUUCGGCAUGACCCUGCAUUUUUUUACUUUUCUUGCAUGUUAGAACUUGAUGUGUAACAGAGUACCAGAUUAUAUUCAUCAAGGCAGAUAACUUAAAGAGUUUAUUUUUGUUGUUCAUGAAAGCACAUACAUGUUGUGCAAAUGCACUUGAAGAUGGUUGGGAUGCCAGAUUCAUCACAGUUUGUUGAUGCUGCACAUGUUGGACACCAAGAUUAACUGGUCCUGGUCCACAGCUGUUUGGAGUUCUUUGUGCCAUAGUUCCGUCCAGCACCUACAAAAUGAAGAGAAAACAUUAUUGCUGAGGAAUCUUCCAUACUGCUACAGGAUUGCUGUUACAAACAUGAGAAGAGAGAAAAGAAAAUCAGAUCUAGAACAAAUCACAGAAGAGAAGACGGGGGGAAAGGUGGGAGGGGGAGAAAAUCAGAGAAGAGAUCAGACGCCCUUACACUAGUGAGUUUCUCCAUGCUUGUGGGCAUGGGGUUUUGCCUGGGUUCAGUCAAAAAGUAGAGUUCAUAAAGCAGAGCAGCAAA